rnacentral:rRNA from 1 species
UACGGGAGGCAGCAGUGGGGAAUAUUGCACAAUGGGCGCAAGCCUGAUGCAGCCAUGCCGCGUGUAUGAAGAAGGCCUUCGGGUUGUAAAGUACUUUCAGUCGUGAGGAAGGUGUUAAGGUUAAUAACCUUAGCAAUUGACGUUAGCGACAGAAGAAGCACCGGCUAACUCCGUGCCAGCAGCCGCGGUAAUACGGAGGGUGCGAGCGUUAAUCGGAAUUACUGGGCGUAAAGGGCACGCAGGCGGUUAAUUAAGUUGGAUGUGAAAUCCCCGGGCUUAACCUGGGAAUGGCAUUCAAGCUGGUUAGCUAGAGUCUUGUAGAGGGGGUAGAAUUCCGAUGUGUAGCGGUGAAAUGCGUAGAGAUGUGGAGGAAUACCGGUGGCGAAGGCGGCCCCUGGACAAAGGCUGACGCUCAUGUGCGAAAGCGUGGGGAGCAAAC